CUCUUCUUCUUUCACUUUGAUCUCUUCAGUAAGGCGAGCAACGUCAGUAGUUUGAAGCGCCCAAGCCUCCUCAAGUUCACGAGCCUGAUCGGCCAACUUAUCCUCAUAGGAUUUCAACCGACCCUCGAUUUCAGCAAUGUAGUCAUGGGCGGAUGAAAGUUGGGCUUGGGCAGAAGCUGCGUCUUGGACUGCUUUUAAAAUUUCUUGCCUCAGAAGACGAGCCUUUUCCCUGAUUAUAUGCUGGUUCACCAGGCUCUCUAUACUCAAACUCAUCGUCUGGGCCAGGAGAUCGUCAAUACUACUCGGAAUCAGCCUGUUCCGAUCCUCCUGGAGGCAGAUGGAAGCUCCCAGAACCUUGGCCAAGCCCGAGUUCUCACGAACUGAUCGGUUCCCCUCUAAGGAAUGAAUAAGGACCUGGGCGCCUCGAGACAGGGUCCUCACGGUAGGUUGGGAA
rnacentral:misc_RNA from 1 species